rnacentral:rRNA from 1 species
CAUUGGACAUGGGGGCACCCUGACCGCAAUGCCGCGUGUGUGAAGAAGGCCUGAGGGUUGUAAAGCACUUUCAGUGGGGAGGAGGAUUAUUAGGUUAAGAGCUAGAUAAUUGGACGUUACCCACAGAAGAAGCACCGGCUAACUCCGUGCCAGCAGCCGCGGUAAUACGGAGGGUGCAAGCGUUAAUCGGAAUUAUUGGGCGUAAAGGGUGCGUAGGUGGUUGGAUAAGUUAUCUGUGAAAGCCCCGGGCUCAACCUGGGACGGUCAGAUAAGACUGUUUGACUCGAGUAUAGGAGAGGGUAGUGGAAUUUCCGGUGUAGCGGUGAAAUGCGUAGAGAUCGGAAGGAACACCAGUGGCGAAGGCGGCUACCUGGCCAGAUACUGACACUGAAGCACGAAA